CUCCCCGUAGUUUAAUGGAUAAAACAGGAGAUUGCGGAUCUCCAGCUCGAGGUUCGAUUCCUCGCGGGGGGA
rnacentral:tRNA from 3 species